rnacentral:rRNA from 1 species
GAUGAACGCUAGCGAUAGGCUUAACACAUGCAAGUCGAGGGGCAUCGAGGGUAGCAAUACCUGUCGGCGACCGGCGCACGGGUGAGUAACGCGUAUGUAACCUGCCCGCAACAGAGGGAUAACCCGGCGAAAGUCGGACUAAUACCUCAUAAAACAGGGGUUCCGCAUGGGGCUAUUUGUUAAAGAUUUAUUGGUUGCGGAUGGGCAUGCGUACCAUUAGGUAGUUGGUGAGGUAACGGCUCACCAAGCCAUCGAUGGUUAGGGGCUCUGAGAGGAAGGUCCCCCACACUGGUACUGAGACACGGACCAGACUCCUACGGGAGGCAGCAGUGAGGAAUAUUGGUCAAUGGGCGAGAGCCUGAACCAGCCAAGUCGCGUGAAGGAUGACUGCCCCUAUGGGUUGUAAACUUC